AUCCACUAUAUGCUCUAUGUAUGAGUUAGUAUGAGGACACAGCCUCAGUAUAUGUACCCACUAUAUGCUCUAUGUAUGAGUUACUAUGAGGACACGGCCUCAGUAUAUGUACCCACUAUAUGCUCUAUGUAUGAGUUACUAUGAGGACACGGCCUCAGUAUAUGUACCCACUAUAUGCUCUAUGUAUGAGUUACUAUGAGGACACAGCCUCAGUAUGUGUACC